GGAAUAUUGGACAAUGGGCGCAAGCCUGAUCCAGCCAUGCCGCGUGAGUGAUGAAGGCCUUAGGGUUGUAAAGCUCUUUCGCCGACGAAGAUAAUGACGGUAGUCGGAGAAGAAGCCCCGGCUAACUUCGUGCCAGCAGCCGCGGUAAUACGAAGGGGGCUAGCGUUGUUCGGAAUCACUGGGCGUAAAGCGCACGUAGGCGGAUUGUUAAGUCAGGGGUGAAAGCCUGGAGCUCAACUCCAGAACUGCCUUUGAUACUGGCAAUCUCGAGUCCGGAAGAGGUAAGUGGAACUGCGAGUGUAGAGGUGAAAUUCGUAGAUAUUCGCAAGAACACCAGUGGCGAAGGCGGCUUACUGGUCCGGUACUGACGCUGAGGUGCGAAAGCGUGGGGAGCAAACA
rnacentral:rRNA from 1 species